rnacentral:lncRNA from 1 species
UCCAAUCAAAUAAAUUCCCUAAUCUAUGAUAGUCCUAAGCUAAAUGCAUUGAUAGGAGCUUACAUUACUCAAGCUAAACUUAAUUGACCAAUACAUACAUCACAUCCAAAAGACUAAAUCAAAACAAUACUACAUCAAUCAGACUGAACUGAUAUUAUGCUUUAGGACAGCUUUUCAUUUCAUUCUGCGGAUUCAUUACAUAAACCAUUAAGGUUCAACAGCGUGUACCUGAAGAUUAAGAGAAACAGGGGUUAGAAGUGAGCAGCAACAAGAGACAGAUAUCAACAGAGAACAACAAUAGAAAUACCCAGUAUAACCAAGGAAAACAAAUUUUACAGCCAAAUUCAACCAGCAGAAGAAUAGAGUGAUACCCAAUAACCAAAUUUAGCCAAAACGUGAGUCAAACCCUUUAAACCCAACAAGUUCAAACCACUUUUAACCUAUGAUUAUUCAGGCAUUAUUUCAGAAAUGAAAACCUCAAGAAUCUAAAAAAAUCAAUGGAAUAGUAAAAUUUUAUGUUUCUCUGCUGUUUUUAGCCAUUUCUUGUAUUUUUUUCCAGAAUUUUAUCCCUCGCCCCACCUCAUAAACCUUGCCUAAAGGCAAGGUUAGAAUGUCUUCUAAAAGGAAAGGAGUAGCGCAAUACUCGAGCUUUAAUUUUCAAUUUAAUCCUUUAGUUUUUAACUUGUGGACAAAGUUUUUUACAUCAAAAAUAACACGAAGCCUAUACUAGAGGCUUCCUAUUUCAGUUAUUAAAGGAUUCCCUUACUUAGACUACCCAAAUUACCCUGAAACCUUAUUAUUUUUCUUUGCUAUUCAAGCAAACCUUAGGUUUAAAUGACCAAGCCAAUGGGUCUACCCAAACCCUAAUUGAAUCCCAGAUUGGGCCUCUACCCUUUGAAUCCCAAAGUGUGGUUCAAACGACCAUAAGUCACAAAUGGGUAAACCCAGAGUUCAAGCGUUAAGGAGGCUAAACAACCCAUUGGUGAUUAUGACCCAAAUGAAUUCAAACCAAACAACUCGAAGGACUACUUAACAAUUUUAGCACUAAUUGAAAAUACAAAAUAAUUUUAAGAAAACCAACAGAAUUAACUCAAAGCCACUACCUAUGCCAAACUAAUUAACACAGAAUCAUAGGGACAAGAAAAGAUAGAAUGAAGAUGGAGAAGAAGUAGACUUCAGAAAGACAUGGCUAAGCAAAUUAGUAUUUCAAACUUUCUAAUGAAGAUACACUGAUCAAGCUUAUUAGGAUGAUAAAAAUAAAAACGAACAUCAUGGAGAAUCAUGAAGAUGAGAACAUGAGUACCACAAAAAUGAUCACUAACUUUGAAUUGCCUUAAACACCUUGAUUUUGACCACAAGGGUCCUCGAUCAUGUGUUCUCAAUGAGAACCCAUGAUCGAGGCACAUUUUGGUCGAAAUCAUAUCCCAACUCUGGUCCAGAUACAUCACCAGCUUGAUUUUGAAACAAUAUUUGACUGGUUUUAGGGUUGUUUGAAAGGAACGAGACACAGAUCUGGUAUGAGAGAGAGUCAGGGGUCAUUUAGUAUUAAUUUGGGGUGGUUUGGAUGGCGGCGCCGCUGUGCACGGCGGAGGCGAGUGGUAGGGUUUAAAUUAUUCGAAUAGUUUGGGUGGGAUAUGAGGGAAACGACGCAUGGAUUUGGAAAAAGGAGGAGAAGGUUGUCAAGUGAAGUUAAUUUGGUGUGAUUUGGUGUUCUGCCGCCGGCAGAGAUGAUUUUUGACCGGCGGUGCAUGGUGGUUGGUGGUGGUGUUAUGUUCUCUGAUGAGCAUGUGAGGGAUGAAGGGGGUAGGGGGUUUUGAGGGGCGGGGUCCUACUUGGACAUUAAUAUACUUAGGGGUGUAGGCUUCUGGACUGUUUGUUCAAUUAUCCUAGACGGCUAGGAUUGAACAGAUCCAAAUGACAUCGUUUGGUAUAGUAGGGGGUUGGUUCGGGUUGGAAUAUGUACACCAGUUUUAGUGGGUUUAUUUGGGCUGUUCUUGAAUGAAAUUGGCCCAAUUGUUCUUUUAGUCUUCCCUUUUUUAAUUUUCAUAUUUCUUUUCUUCUUUUCUUUCUUUUCCAUUUUCCAAAAUUACUAAAAUGCAAAUUUAAAUUAUAAAUCCUAAAUUUAACUAUAAAAUACUAAUCAUCCCUUACAUAAUUUUUUCUAUUAAUAAUUUAAAAAAAUUAAAAGCAAAAUAUCCUGAAAAUCAUAAUUAAAAUUAAAAGAUCAAAUUAAACUAUUUUUUGAUUUUUCUCCUGUUAUAAAAUGGCUAAUUGCUAAUUAAUUCUUGAAAAAUGAUCAAAUAAACUUCUAAAUGUGCAUGCGACAAAUUUUUGUAUUUUUUUCACUAAUUAAAAUGCGCAAACAAAAUGCAAACAAUUAACAAAAACUGCCACAAAAUUCACAAAAUCGCAAAUAAAUAAAAGAAAUUAUGUUGUUUGAAUUUAUAGGAGUAAUUCCUGUAGGGCAAAAAUCACAUGCUCACAGGUUCAACCAACUAGUUGUUGAUUCAAUAUGUUUUAGCUUACAACGAUUCAGUUGAAAAACAAUAUUUUGAGUAAAUGAAAUUAGAUGAUGGAGAGUAAGAAUAACACUACAUGCUGAAUCCUAACAUUGUCAUAAGAUAACAACUGCUUAUGUGAUUCUAACCACAUUUUCUACAUGCUGGGAUGCUCAGAAAUACACAUGAUAGGUUGAUAAAUAAUGAUGAAUAAAUGACACUAAUCUCUACUGUUGACGCAUACAUCCAGGCACAACAUAAUCAUGAAAUAACUUCAGAUUGCACAAAUAGAGUCAUUUUCAUAGCUGAAAUAUGGUUACAUACCUUUAGAUGGUUUAAACAAGACAUAAUAAAGGUCACUAGCACAUCUGAUUCUUCCAAAAUAGUGAGCAACAACAGGAAGCCAGACACACAACCAGAUUAGAAAAUAGAUUCAGCUUUCGAAACCCAGGGAUUACAACUCAAAAAAAAAGAAGACCAAGAUAAGUCCUUCUACUCCAAGUUAUUUGCAGCUUUUCAGAAAACCAAAGAGGAAAGUUUUCUCAAAGUUUGAAACUUAGUGUUUUCAGUAGAAGAGAGAAUGAAGUUUUUCUGUGUGUAAUAAAUCAGUGCCCCCC